rnacentral:rRNA from 1 species
AACUGCGAGUGAAGCGGGAAAAGCUCAAAUUUAAAAUCUGGUGGUCUUUGACCGUCCGAGUUGUAAUUUAGAGAAGCGUCUUCCGCGCCAGACCGUGCACAAGUCUCCUGGAAUGGAGCGUCAUAGAGGGUGAGAAUCCCGUCUUUGGCACGGAACCCCUGGUGCUUUUGUGAUGCGCUCUCAAAGAGUCGAGUUGUUUGGGAAUGCAGCUCAAAAUGGGUGGUGAACUCCAUCUAAAGCUAAAUAUUGGCGAGAGACCGAUAGCGAACAAGUACCGUGAGGGAAAGAUGAAAAGCACUUUGGAAAGAGAGUGAAACAGUACGUGAAAUUGUUGAAAGGGAAACGCUUGGAGUCAGUCACGUCGGCCAAGACUCAGCCUUGCCUUGGCUUGGUGUACUUCUUGGCUGACGGGCCAGCAUCGAUUUCGUCCCUUAGAUAAUGGCAAGGGAAAGGUGGCACCUUUACGGGUGUGUUAUAGUCUCUUGUCGCAUGUGAGGGGUGGGAUCGAGGAACUCAGCACGCACCUUUUUGGUGUCGGGGCUUCGGCCC